rnacentral:misc_RNA from 1 species
GAUGAAGAACGCAGCGAAAUGCGAUAAGUAGUGUGAAUUGCAGAAUUCAGUGAAUCAUCGAAUCUUUGAACGCACAUUGCGCCCCUUGGUAUCCCGAGGGGCAUGCCUGUUCGAGCGUCAUUUCACCACUCAAGCCUGGCUUGGUGUUGGGCGACGUCCCCUUUGGGGACGCGCCUCGAAACGCUCGGCGGCGUGGCACAGGCUUUAAGCGUAGCAGAAUCUUUCGCUUUGGAAGUCGGGGCCCCGUCUGCCGGAAGACCUACUCGCAAGGUUGACCUCGGAUCAGGCAGGGAUACCCGCUGAACUUAAGCAUAUCAAUAAGCGGAGGA